UAGCGUAGGGGGCAAGGCGUUUGUCCGGGAUUUAUUGGGCGUAAAGAGCGUGUAGGCGGCUGGGUAGGUCCGUUGUGAAAACUCGAGCUCAACCUCGAGACGCCGAUGGAAACCCUCCAGCUAGAGUCCGGAAGAGGAGAGUGGAAUUCCUGGUGUAGCGGUGAAAUGCGCAGAUAUCAGGAAGAACACCCGUGGCUAAGGCGGCUCUCUAGUACGGUACUGACGCUGAGACGCGAAAGCCGUGGGGAGCGAACAGG
rnacentral:rRNA from 1 species